AACGCUAGCUACAGGCUUAACACAUGCAAGUCGAGGGGAAACGACAUCGAAAGCUUGCUUUUGAUGGGCGUCGACCGGCGCACGGGUGAGUAACGCGUAUCCAACCUGCCCAUCACUUGGGAAUAACCUUGCGAAAGUAAGACUAAUACCCAAUGAUAUCCCACGAAGGCAUCCGAAUGGGAUUAAAGAUUUAUCGGUGAUGGAUGGGGAUGCGUCUGAUUAGCUUGUUGGCGGGGUAACGGCCCACCAAGGCGACGAUCAGUAGGGGUUCUGAGAGGAAGGUCCCCCACAUUGGAACUGAGACACGGUCCAAACUCCUACGGGAGGCAGCAGUGAGGAAUAUUGGUCAAUGGGCGAGAGCCUGAACCAGCCAAGUAGCGUGCAGGACGACGGCCCUAUGGGCUGUAAACUGCUUUUAUAAGGGAAUAAAGUGAGUCUCGUGAGACUUUUUGCAUGUACCUUAUGAAUAAGGACCGGCUAAUUCCGUGCCAGCAGCCGCGGUAAUACGGAAGGUCCGGGCGUUAUCCGGAUUUAUUGGGUUUAAAGGGAGCGUAGGCCGGAGAUUAAGCGUGUUGUGAAAUGUAGUGGCUCAACCUCUGCACUGCAGCGCGAACUGGUCUUCUUGAGUACGCACAACGUGGGCGGAAUUCGUGGUGUAGCGGUGAAAUGCUUAGAUAUCACGAAGAACUCCGAUUG
rnacentral:rRNA from 1 species